AUCAGCAACAGGAAUAAAGAUAAUUCAAAGAACAUCAAGUAUCCACACACACUAGGACGAAAAAGUUUUGCUAGGAAGAGGAAGGAAGUGGAAGAUGCUCUUGGAAGAGAGGUGGAUCGAGCAACUUUCUUUGAUGAAUGCCAUAAAACUAAGGAUGGUGUGUAUGUGAAUGCCUUAACAGAGGAAAAAAUGAAUGAGGUAUAUAUGAAAUUGGCUGAGAAAAAUUUAGAUGGGCAUGAACUUACGGAGCAAGAUUAUGAAAAAGCUAUGAAAGAAGCAUUUGGGAAGGACCACCCUGGCCGUGUUCGUGGAAUGGGCCCAACAAUUACUGCAUCAAAAUAUUUUGGUGGGAGGUUUUCCACUUUGUCAAGAGAUGAAGCAGGAACAAGCAGUAGUAGCACACAUGAUGGACUCAUGAAA